GUGCUCACUUCGGCAGCACUUAUACUAAAACUGGAACGACCCAGAGGAGACGAGCAUGCCCCGCCACGAGGAUGACACGUAAAUGUUAUCUGGAUUCUGGUUUCUU
ensembl:snRNA U6 U6 spliceosomal RNA